AAGGGAGACCUAAUUCAGGUAGGAGACGAAAAAAAAGUAGUCGCUACCAAGAAUCAAUCCCAAAAGGUCGGAGCGAGGCGAAAUUGGCUUUCAAACUAGGUUCUGGGUUCAAACAAGACCUGAAUCAGGAACAAGGGCUAUUAGCUCAGGUGGUUAGAGCGCACCCCUGAUAAGGGUGAGGUCCCUGGUUCGAGUCCAGGAUGGCCCACCUGCACAGGUGGCAAAAACAAGAGAAGCUCCGAAUCAGCACCUUAUCUUAUAUACAUAUAUAAGAGAGAAUGCUGGCUCUGAGUACAGAGUCCAGAGGAACCUUGAAAACUGCAUAGAGCUAGGUGAAAAAGCCAAAAAAGAAGACCGCAA
rnacentral:tRNA from 1 species